GAUGAACGCUGGCGGCGUGGAUAAGGCAUGCAAGUCGAACGGUAACAGGUCUUCGGAUGCUGACGAGUGGCGAACGGGUGAGUAAUGCAUCGGAACGUGCCUAGUAGUGGGGGAUAACUACUCGAAAGAGUGGCUAAUACCGCAUGAGAUCUACGGAUGAAAGCAGGGGAUCGCAAGACCUUGUGCUACUAGAGCGGCCGAUGGCAGAUUAGGUAGUUGGUGGGAUAAAAGCUUACCAAGCCGACGAUCUGUAGCUGGUCUGAGAGGACGAUCAGCCACACUGGGACUGAGACACGGCCCAGACUCCUACGGGAGGCAGCAGUGGGGAAUUUUGGACAAUGGGCGCAAGCCUGAUCCAGCAAUGCCGCGUGCAGGAUGAAGGCCUUCGGGUUGUAAACUGCUUUUGUACGGAACGAAAAGCCCUGGGUUAAUACCCUGGGGUCAUGACGGUACCGUAAGAAUAAGCACCGGCUAACUACGUGCCAGCCGCCGCCGUAA
rnacentral:rRNA from 1 species